GACGGUCGCAAGAUUAAAACUCAAAGGAAUUGACGGGGACCCGCACAAGCGGUGGAUGAUGUGGAUUAAUUCGAUGCAACGCGAAAAACCUUACCUACCCUUGACAUGUCUGGAAUCCACGAGAGAUCGAGGAGUGCUCGCAAGAGAACCGGAACACAGGUGCUGCAUGGCUGUCGUCAGCUCGUGUCGUGAGAUGUUGGGUUAAGUCCCGCAACGAGCGCAACCCUUGUCAUUAGUUGCUACGAAAGGGCACUCUAAUGAGACUGCCGGUGACAAACCGGAGGAAGGUGGGGAUGACGUCAAGUCCUCAUGGCCCUUAUGGGUAGGGCUUCACACGUCAUACAAUGGUCGGGACAGAGGGUCGCCAACCCGCGAGGGGGAGCUAAUCCCAGAAACCCGAUCGUAGUCCGGAUUGUAGUCUGCAACUCGACUACAUGAAGUCGGAAUCGCUAGUAAUCGCGGAUCAGCAUGUCGCGGUGAAUACGUUCCCGGGUCUUGUACACACCGCCCGUCACACCAUGGGAGUGGGUUUCACCAGAAGUA
rnacentral:rRNA from 1 species